rnacentral:rRNA from 1 species
GAUCAUGGCUCAGGACGAACGCUGGCGGCAUGCCUAACACAUGCAAGUCGAACGGAACUUGUUGAAUGAAGUUUUCGGAUGGAUUUCAGCAAGUUUAGUGGCGGACGGGUGAGUAACGCGUGAGCAACCUGCCUUUCAGAGGGGGACAACAGUUGGAAACGACUGCUAACACCGCAUAACAUGGCGAGACCGCAUGACCUUGCCAUCAAAAAUUUAUUGGUAUGAGAUGGGCCCGCGUCUGAUUAGCUAGUUGGUGAGGUAACGGCCCACCAAGGCGACGAUCAGUAGCCGGCCUGAGAGGGUGACCGGCCACAUUGGGACUGAGACACGGCCCAAACUCCUACGGGAGGCAGCAGUGGGGAAUAUUGGACAAUGGGGGAAACCCUGAUCCAGCAACGCCGCGUGAGUGAAGAAGUAUUUCGGUAUGUAAAGCUCUAUCAGCAGGGAAGAAAAUGACGGUACCUGACUAAGAAGCCCCGGCUAACUACGUG